rnacentral:tRNA from 1 species
GCGGGGGUAGCCAAGCCAGGACAAAGGCGCCGGGCUUAAGACCCGGGCGGAAGGGUUCGUGGGUUCGAAUCCCACCCCCCGCA